GAUGAACGCUAGCUACAGGCUUAACACAUGCAAGUCGAGGGGAAACGACAUCGAAAGCUUGCUUUUGAUGGGCGUCGACCGGCGCACGGGUGAGUAACGCGUAUCCAACCUGCCCAUCACUUGGGGAUAACCUUGCGAAAGUAAGACUAAUACCCAAUGAUAUCUCUAGAAGACAUCUGAAAGAGAUUAAAGAUUUAUCGGUGAUGGAUGGGGAUGCGUCUGAUUAGCUUGUUGGCGGGGUAACGGCCCACCAAGGCAACGAUCAGUAGGGGUUCUGAGAGGAAGGUCCCCCACAUUGGAACUGAGACACGGUCCAAACUCCUACGGGAGGCAGCAGUGAGGAAUAUUAGUCAAUGGGCGAGAGCCUGAACCAGCCAAGUAGCGUGCAGGAAGACGGCCCUAUGGGUUGUAAACUGCUUUUAUAAGGGAAUAAAGUGAGAGUCGUGACUCUUUUUGUAUGUACCUUAUGAAUAAGAACCGGCUAAUUCCGUG
rnacentral:rRNA from 1 species